UGUAUAGAUAAAGUGGUUUUUGCAGAUGUUUCUUCUCAAACUGAUUAUGUGUGUUUAUCUUUGGGUAAUAAUAAUAAUUAUAUAAUUGGCUAAUUACAUUUAUCAAGUUCUGAAUAUACACCAGACACCAUCAUAAGCAUUUUCAAACAUUUUACCUAAUCUUCACAAUAAUUAUUUGGUAGAUAUGAGUUUGCAUCUGAUUUUUCUUUUUAACAGUUGAGAAAGUUGAGAUCCAAAUGUAAUUACUUUCUGAGGCCAUAUGACUCCUAAAUGGACAGAGCUCAGUUUGCUUGAUUCUGGAGGCCCAGCUCUUGACUGACUAUGCAUGCAAUUCUAAAACACUACCAUAUAGAAUAAAAAUCUAUAGCUAAAAAUUUGGAAAAGUAAGAAAAUUUUGAUAAAUCUAAAUGAGUGGGUUCAUACUCCAGAUUUUGAUCAAGACACGUGGAUUUAGUCACAUUUUCAACCACUAACCUUAUUUGGCACAUAAGAAAAAUGCGUGUGUGUGCUUUUAUUUGACAUGUAUACAAGCAAUGAUUAAACAAAUAGUAGCUCUAAGUGACCUUAACUUUAGACAAAGAAUAUUCAUACUGUUUCCAUCUGUACCUUGUUCUCUUCCAAUUCCCAACCAGAUUCUUAAAAAUCAGAAUGGGAAAAAAAAAAAUCCUGGGGUAAUCUAACUAAGGUAUUGCCUUCUUUGGUUUUUAGCUGACAACAGUAUUUCCAAAUAUUUCUUUCCCCUACUUAUCUGUCCUCUUAACUUCAGAUCUUACAGACAUUCUUUGCUGGGAAAAGGAAUCAGGUUUUCUUUUCAAAUUUUUGGGAAUGUCAUACUCCAUUUCUCAGGAUUCAUAAGGAUACAGCUUAUCAUUCCCAUUUUAAAAUUUUGGUGAUGGCUCUUUGACUGCACCAAGAAAUCCAUCAUCUCUACCAUCCCCUUCCAACUUAUAUUUCUACAUCCUUGCUCUGCCCUUGAACUCAUCACACCUUCAUGCCAUUCUCUCUCCUUGAAAAACUCUUUAUUCUCUGCAUGGUGAGGCUAUUCAUCCUUAAAAGCUCAUUCAAAGAGUGUGACCUAGUCCUCCCCCCCCACCCCCACAACUAAAAGUAUAAAGUUUUCUUUUCAGGCUUCUAUAGCACAGAAGCUGACACGUAAUGGAAGGGAAACAAUGAUUUAUAGAAUUGUCAACUGCAUUAAAAAUGAAUUAGAGACUGAUCUACCUGUCAGGAGGCCUCUUCUCUCUUACAAAAUUUAGAGCUCCUUGUUUAAAUUUCAAACACUCAUUCCCCUUGUGGCUAUAAUUGGCUUGGACUAGCAAUAGCCAAACGAACAUAUGUGGACAGUAGAUGCCAAAUAAUGCAAUUUUAUUGAAAUAUUCAUGUGGCUUUUUUGUUGGCGGGAGAGUAUACUGCUAGCCCACCAUAUAUAUUUAGUUCGAAAAAUGCAGCAUAAGGAAAAAACCAGAUCCCAUCUGCCAGGCAAAAUAGCUAUAAAGUGAAGAAAUCGGGUUUUUAAUGAAUCCAUCGAGAAUAACUUGAGUUAUUUUUUAAUGUAAGAGCAAAUAAACUCUUGAGCAGAGCUGCAUAGUCAUGUAGUAUUCUUUUAAUUUAUAGCUAGGCCAAAUCCAAAUCCUGGUUUUAGCUGAAUUAGAAUGUUCCCAGAAGACAGAAUGAUUAGACAAUACAAGUGGGUUUUUGCUUGGCCUUCUAAAAUCUGGCUCAUUGUCUAAGGGGACUAGAAUUCCAUCCUCAGCUCAAGACAAGUAAACAUUUCUCCAUGUAUUCAUGAAACUCACUGCACAACUUGGCUGGAUUUCUCCAUUUUCUUUAGAACAUGUCCACAAAAACAAGAGUGUUGCUCUUUCAUAUUCCAUUCUGAAGGAGUGUGAAAUAAGAUCAAACACCUGUUCUUUCUUCUUUCUUGGCCAAUGUUGCCUGUCUCCAUUUUCAGACUUCAAUUUUGAUGAAUGCUUUUCCCCAUUAUGUACCAAUAGGAUCAUUUAAAAUAUAACUCAUUCACGGGAUUUUAAUAGUUAGCAAAGAAAAAUUCUAUAUGUUAAUAAAAAUAAAUUUCAAUAUAUACCCUAUAAAGGCAAAGACAUUGCAGAAAAUCAGAGGUAUCUGGGGCUUUUCACUGUUGAGAUGUGUUACUUUCCUUAAUACUUUAUGGCAUGAAAAACUCUGCGUGAACUUGACACAAAGGGCAUUUUGAACUGGGGUGCUGGGAGUCUGGAAAGGUUGAUCAGAGAACGCCUUUGUCCAUUUUUGAGUAAGAUGCUGUGGAAAUUGAUAGUAUAAAGAAAAGGAUGGGUAGAAUGGGUCAGGUCUAAAUGUGUGGUCAAAUAAGUGACAGAAAUCUGGGCCCAUCUUUUACUUUCUGAUUUGUCUUAAGCCCCUGCAAAUCCCAAGCCAAGGGAACCCUAUCACUGUGGUACAAAACACAUUGUGAUAAAUUAGACAAGCCACUAUAUUCUGUCACCUCUGUUCUUUAAAUCAGAGGCUUUAUCACGAGGAAUUUACUGCUCUUUUAGCAUUCUUCUCAACAGCGAUCUGCCCCUGUGACUCCUAGCACAAGUCAGCAUUUUCUGUCAAUAUGGGAGGGAAGAGGGAGCGGGGUGGGGGAAAGAAAAGAGAGGAAAAGAAAAACCAAGACUUUUGACCUCUAGAGUGUUGGGCAAAUAUGUUAGCAAUGUUUAAAAUAAUAGAAUCCAACGGUUAAAAAGACCUUAAAAACAGCAUAGUCUUAGUUCUCACUCAGUGAAGCAAUCUUUUAUAACCAUUGGUCUAAUAUCCAUCAACCUCUUCUUGAAUGCCUUCAGUAAUUAUUGACAAUCAGUCUGUUCCCUUGUUAUUAGAAAUGUCCUUCUUAAAUUAAGACAGGUGCUAAGCUCUGCAGAACUUCUAUUCUUUGGAAAAUAAGUUUUGUUACUCCUGUGCCUGACAGUCUUUCAAAUUAUUGUAGCCAGCUUUCAUGUUCUGAUACUCUUUUAUUUUCUCCAGGUGAGAAAGCAUUGGUGCUUUAUCUGCUUCUGAUCUUAUUUGCUAACCUCUUCUGAAAGUGUCCCAGAUUAACAGUGAGUCCUUUUCCUAAUUGCCAAAGCUGUAGCUGUUGUUUAAAAUAGAUUGUUAGAUAAAACUUUGUUUUAUCCUGUAUAUUUAAGUAGUAAUGUUUCUUGUGUCAAACCACCCAUAAUCUAACCCCUAAGAUAACCACUGCUUACAUUUCCAUGUGCUUCUUUUCAUCUUUAUAAACUUUAUGUAAUUUUAUUUAUUUUUAUUUUGUUUUAGUGUUUUUGCUUUUUUAGGGCCACACCUGCGUCAUACGGAAGUUCCCAGGUUAGAGAUCCAAUCUGAGCUGCAGCUGCCAGGCCUAUGCCACAGCCACAGCAAUGCAGGAUCUGAAGUGCACCUGCAACUUACACCACAGCUCAUGGCAAUGCCAGAUCCUUAACCCACUGAGAAAGGCCAGGAAUUGAGCCCACAUCCUCAUGGAUACUAGUUGGGUUCAUAACCAGCUGAGCCACAACACGAACUGCCUAUAUCAUUUUAAUAGAAUAGAUUAUAUGUAUAAUUUUGAGCUCUGCAUUGUUUCUAAUAUUGUGUUUGAGCAAAUUCCUAUUUCCUCAACAUUCUGGAAGAAGAUGUCUGCGGUAAUUCAUCCUAAAUCUGGUAUUCUCAAUUCUAUUUUGAUAAUAUCUUCUUCUUGACCCCUUCACCCUAAGUAUCUGCAGAAAUUCUUUUUGAAGCACUCAGUCAACAUCAGGACUAUGGCUAUAAAGACUUAAAGCAUUUGCCAGGUAAUCACCGAUAACAAAAAAAACACUUAAGGUACAAUAGAAAGCCAGUGUUUUUUAGUUAGAAAGUUGAUUGAAAUUGAGAACACUUCUCUCUUCUUUGUUGACCAAGUCUUCCUUAUUGAAAAGACUCUUCUGAAGCAGAUAAAGAAAUUUACACUCUCUAUUCAUAAGGUGUUUAAUCUUUGUAUUUUCAUGAUGACACACGGAGGGCCAUUAGCCAAGGAGACUCUCUCCUGAUGACAGAGGUGGAUCCCCAGUGAAAGGAAACAAGUGAAGGUAAAGCAGUACAAAGCUUUGUAACCAUAGUUACUUUAAGUCUAAGAUUUAAGCGUAUUGUUUCCAUCAUGAAAGAUGCAUUAACAUUCCUUGAUGUCCAGUCUUAGAAACCUUGUUAUCAUGGUGAGCCUGUUUACUUACGAAUCUCUUAAGGGUUGGCUAGGCUUAAUUCACACUUAAACAUUAACCUUAAAUCUAUAUCCUGGGAGGGCUGGAGAAGGGGGAUAGAACUCUUUGAAGAUGGGAUGGAGCAAUCACAAAGAAGUGCUCAAAUUCUGAGAGAAUUUAUUUUAUGAGCUCUUCAAGAACUUGCUUCUUCCAAACCAGAAAAUUCUAGAAGUGAACCCCUAUAUCAUCCUACAUGCACCUGAAUGAAAUAAAGGGUAAAAUGAUGGCACUUUGGAAAGUCAUCCUUAAAAAAAAAUUGUUAUAUACUUUGCAGCUAAUCAUUCAUUUAAUUGUAGCAGAUGUUUUCUGGUAAAUGGUAAAAAAAAAUAUUCACAGUAAACCACUAGAAUGAUUCAUUUAUUCAUAACAAAGAAGUAGAAUGUUCUUUAAUGACUAGGCUGUCACCACAUUUGGGGAAAUUGCUUCCUUGGGUAUUUUUUUCCUCCCUUUGCAGCAAACAUCCUGAAAACCACACAGUUCUAUCAUUUGCAUGAGAAGUCGGCUAUUGUAAACCACUACAUUGAUUGUAGAAGUAUUGUAGUGUUGCUAUUUCCAUGGGGUUUUUGAAGAGAGGGUACUGAUAUGGUAUGAAUUGUUCUUAUUAAUUUAUAAUAAACUUCCAGGGUUAGGAGUUUUCAACUGUCUUUCAAAAGUAUUAUAAACUCAAGUUUUAGCCUUAUUUGAGAUCUUUUCUGAAGUUUCUUUCCGUCUUGUGAAGCAAGGAGAAAUUUAACCCUCAUUCAAAGCAGGACUAUAUCAGUUAAUAGGACUAUAUCAGUUAAUUAACUUCCCAACAUGACUUCCUAUGCCUACCUGACUCCUGUGCAUCCUACAGAACUUAGUUUAAACACACUUUUCUUAAAGAAACCAUCUAUUUCAAAGCACUAAAUUAACCAACCCACUACCUCACUACCCAAUCACAUUUUAUACCCCCAUAGUACCCUAAAUUUCUUAUAACCCUUGCUUAGUGACUGUCUUCUCCACUAAGUUGAAAACCAUGUCAAAACAGAUACCUUAUCUAUACUUCCUCAGCUAUUUCCUUGGAGCAAAACAUAGUGCCUUGAACAUGGCUGGCCCUCCAUAAAUGUUUGUUGGAUGAAUAAAUUGAGGCAUUAAAUAUACUCAGAGUUUUUGAAGCAUGAAUUUUCCAUAAUACCAUGUUGCUUGUUUUAUAUAAAAAGGACAACAUCAUACUUUGGAAGACAAACUCUAGUACAUCUGAAUUGAGGCAUGCCCAUGGUUAGUGACACAGUUUGCUAUCUUGUGGAGACUCAGGGUUUUCUCCUUCUUACUCUAUUCUCUGUUCUACCUCAAGAGGAGAGUAAACAUGAAGAAAGGGAAGUAUUGGGUCAUAAAGAUGUGAAACACUCCAUGUGAUGAUAAAAGAGGUUUAAAAAUGUUAUUGUGUUCUGAUAUCCUCUCUGUAGAGUCCCUCUAUUUUCAGAGUAAGUAUUGAAAUAGUUAUUCCAGGUAAUGACAAUCCAGAAUGAGGAGAGGAGGCAAAUCUCCCAUGCCAAAGAAUUUCAAAAAAAUUAGGUAGAUACUCUAACUGUCGAUAAUUUAAGCAUGAGCUGUGCAUAGUGAUUUUUUUCUCAAAGAAUAUAGUGUGAAAGGCGGGGGUGGAGUGAGGAGUCACUUUAUACUGGAGAAAUCUGACAAACACUCCCUCAGGUAGGUGAUCUAGGUGAACAUCCACAGUGAUAAGUCAUUGGUAGUCUGUACUCUUGAUCUGAUGUGAUGAAAAUGAUACCUUACUUCUAUGAUGUUCUCCCUAAAACUCAUCAUCACAGCUCAUUAUGAGGAAAACAUAAGUCAAACCCCACAGCAUAUGUGACCAGUACUUUUCAAAUGAUCAAGGUCAUCAAAAACAAGGAAAGUCAGAAAUUGUGACAGCCAAGAGGAGCAUAAAGAAACAUGGCAACAAAUGUAACAUGGUAUCCUGGAUGGGAUAGGAUCCUUGAUAAAAACUUAGAAAUUGGAGUUAAGUGCAUGCUUUAGUUAAUAAUAAUAAUAAUAAUGCACCAAUAUUACUUCAUUAGUUAGGAUACAACAAUGUAUCCUCCUAAUGUAAGAUGUCAAUAGAGGAAACCAUGGAGGAAUUCUCUGUAGUUAUAUUUAUAAUUUUUCCUUACAUCUAAAAUUGUUCUAAAUUAGAAAGCUUAUUUUUUUACAUGACUCUUCAACCUUUGAAAUUUUACUAGAUUAAAAUUCUAGUAAGUUGGAUUCUAUUUGCUUUAGUUUUUCUAAAAGAAUAGGGACUAUAUUAGUUUUCAAGGGCUGCUGUAACACAAACUGUGUGGCUAAACAACAAAGCUGUCUCAUAGUUCUUAUAGAUAGAAAUCUGAAAUCAAGGAGUUCCCACAGCAGUGCAGUGGGUUAAGAAUCCAACUACAAGGGCUCAGGUCAUUACAGAGGCCUGGAUUUAAUCCCUGGAACAGUGGGUUAAAUGAGCUGACAUUGACACAGCUGAGGAGUAGGCCUGUGGCUGCAACUCAAAUUCAAUUGCCAGCCUAGGAACUUCCAUAUGCUGCAGGUGUGGC
rnacentral:lncRNA from 1 species